UACAAUGGCCAGUACAAAGGGCAGCUACCGGGUGACCGGAUGCUAAUCUCUAAAGCUGGUCUCAGUUCGGAUCGAAGUCUGCAACCCGACUUCGUGAAGCUGGAUUCGCUAGUAAUCGCGCAUCAGCCAUGGCGCGGUGAAUACGUUCCCGGGCCUU
rnacentral:rRNA from 1 species